AAUAGAUACCCAGGUAGUCCAUGCCGUAAACGUUGGGCGCUAGAUGUGGGGACCAUUCCACGGUUUCCGUGUCGCAGCUAACGCAUUAAGCGCCCCGCCUGGGGAGUACGGCCGCAAGGCUAAAACUCAAAGGAAUUGACGGGGGCCCGCACAAGCGGCGGAGCAUGCGGAUUAAUUCGAUGUAACGCGAAGAACCUUACCAAGGCUUGACAUAUACGAGAACGCUCUAGAAAUAGAGAACUCUUUGGACACUCGUAUACAGGUGGUGCAUGGUUGUCGUCAGCUCGUGUCGUGAGAUGUUGGGUUAAGUCCCGCAACGAGCGCAACCCUCGUUCUAUGUUGCCAGCGGUUCGGCCGGGAACUCAUAGGAGACUGCCGGGGUCAACUCGGAGGAAGGUGGGGAUGACGUCAAAUCAUCAUGCCCCUUAUGUCUUGGGCUUCACGCAUGCUACAAUGGCCGGUACAAAGGGCUGCAAUACCGUAAGUGGAGCGAAUCCCAAAAAGCCGGUCUCAGUUCGGAUUGAGGUCUGCAACUCGUA
rnacentral:rRNA from 1 species